UAAGCCAGUUCGAGUGUCAGUGAAAGUAAAACGCAGCAGCUCCAUUUUGUGUCGAGGGGAAAAUAAACCAUUUCAGGAGUAAAAACACAGGUUUGAUUUAACACACCGAUGUAGGAGUGAAGUAAACGUGUGUCCUGCUGUAAUCUGGAGAAGGAGACAUGACCUCCAACAUGAGUGUGUCUGGAAAACAGGACUUAAAGAAAGACGAGAGAAUGAUGGAGGGAAAGAGAUCAGACUCACCAGAACCCAGCUGUGUGUCCAUGAAGAGUGACUGGUCAGUGGGA